CAGUAAUACUGACGGGAAAUCAACUUCUCGAGCGUGGUUUAGUGGGAUCAAAGUGCCUUUGUUCUCACGAUAUCUGCGUUCUUUUGGCGCACUUUCUUGUAUUGUAGGUUAGCAUCGGUUUUGAUCGUCAUAAAAUGACUGGAGGAAUGUGGCUUCGACUUCGGUUGAAGUGUUAUAGACUCU
rnacentral:rRNA from 1 species